UACGUAGGGUGCAAGCGUUGUCCGGAAUCAUUGGGCGUAAAGCGCGUGUAGGCGGCCCGAUAAGUCCGCUGUGAAAGUCCAGGGCUCAACCCUGGAAUGCCGGUGGAUACUGUCGGGCUCGAGUCCGGAAGAGGCGAGUGGAAUUCCUGGUGUAGCGGUGAAAUGCGCAGAUAUCAGGAGGAACACCAAUGGCGAAGGCAGCUCGCUGGGACGGUACUGACGCUGAGACGCGAAAGCGUGGGGAGCAAACAGG
rnacentral:rRNA from 1 species